UUGGGUAUUUUCUUUCUUUCUUUUUCUUUUUUUGGGGGGGGUGGUGGUGGAUGGAGGCGGGGAGAAGGGCUUGGCAUCGGCUCUCCUGGGCUCAGCCCCCUCCCCUCCGGUCUACAGUCUCGGAGGCGGGGACGGAGCGGCGCCGGCCGUACCCCCAUCUCGGCCGGCGCUGAGCAGUAGCAGGGGCUCCUUCGGAAAUGAAACACCUAAAGGGACUGGGGCGGGGGCGAGGACGGAGGGGGGGCCCGGUGCUCGAAGAUGAGGAGGAGGCAAGGGAGGAGCCUGCCUUAAAGGUUGACCAGGAAAGGCCGUGUUUGAUUUGAGCACUAAAGUGACCCAACUUUCUAGCUGCUGCUGCAAAUUUGGAUACAGUCUACAUUAAAAAACAACAUCAACAAGGACCCUUAAGGGUGUUUUCUCAAGCAGUGGAUUAAAUCAAUGCUUAAUGCUAUGCAAGCCCAGCUGUGUCCAUAUUAGGAGAGUCUGAUCUCACAUCUCUCUGCGGAAAAAAAGGACCAGGAUGUCCUCCCUCUCUUUGCUAUGUUUCCACCCCCAACAUAUGUAGGUGGGAGAGUGGGAGCCUGGGAAUGUGAACUUGAUCCAGCAUUGAUCAGCCAAGCAGCAAACUCUUAUUGUUCUUUAGAUACCAAACAUUAACUCCUUUCUACUAGGGAUAAGCCCAGCUAUUUUGUACAUAACAUAACUUUUGUACUCAGCAGUACGCUUAAGAAGGAAAAGAACCAAAAGACUAUAUCUGACUUGUUAUAAACAACACAUCUGAUGUGCAGAUAUCAGAGACACUUAAAACCAGUUUAUGAAUUCAUUUUUCUUUUUACAAUGGCUAAUUCCAAUCCAUAGGGUCAGUAUAGGGAUUUAUCUUAAUUUUUUUUAAACUAAAGAUGCUUCUAUCUAGCAUUUCUUAGGUCUACUACAUUUCUUUUACUUACCUUUACUCUGGCGUCUAAGAACAUUGGAAACCAUGUUAAUAUUACAUUGGCCACAGCUGUUAAAACCAUUUAAAAGUAUAUAUUCACUGUUUAAUCACAGACUAAGUAGAGAUUGGAACUGUUUUAGCCAGUACUAGCUUAGGUGCUGUAGGCAUAAGUAAACUUAAAAAGAUCACCAAAUAAUCAAAGCUGUAACCUCAUACUAAAAAUGCUUCACCCAUCAAUGACACAAAACACAUGGUGUCAGACAAACCAAUGGCAAACAAUGGGCACCUGCAGCUCUUCAAAUAAAGAUGUGCACAAGGGCACUCUCCCAACAACGACUGCAUGGCAGAAUAAAGCGGAUUCUUUUGGUUAGGUGCUUCACAAAGAGGGACACUUGGUUGACAGCACCAUCUCCAAAUAUCACAACUCUUCUGUGACAGAAAGGCUAGAAACUGCAAUUUGAUAUUUGGCCACCACAUUCCUAAUGGGCCUCAUUUCCAGGUGUCAGCGGUAGCAAGAACAAGAACCACAACACAAGGAAAAUGUAGUUGAGAUGUUUUUACAUUUAUUUUAUAUCCCAUAGACUAAAGGAAAGACAAUUAAUCAAAAAACAUAAUCCAAUGGAUUACUGUACAACCUAUGUACUCUUCUUUUGAGAGAUUAGCAGCUUAUUUAAUCAGAAUCAGAUGUAUCAAAUACAGGUUGCUAUUUUCUAAUUAUAAAAUAAAUGAGGAUGAACAAGAACAGAAGUUUAAAGAAAUGAAGCCCACUGAAAAUACAAGAAAGACUGAAUUUAUGAAGAAAAUUCCAAGAUGGAGAUGUAACUUCAGGCUAUUAAAAAUAAUGAAGUAAUCAUAAUGAUGAUGAUGAUGGCUAACUUUU